rnacentral:rRNA from 1 species
UACGUAGGUGGCAAGCGUUGUCCGGAAUCAUUGGGCGUAAAGCGCACGUAGGCGGUCUGUUAUGUCGGAUGUGAAAGCCCUUGGCUCAACUGAGGAAGUGCAUCCGAAACUGCUGAGCUUGAGUACUUAAGAGGAUCGCGGAAUUCCCGGUGUAGAGGUGAAAUUCGUAGAUAUUGGGAGGAACACCAGUGGCGAAGGCGGCGAUCUGGGAAGAUACUGACGCUGAGGCACGAAGGCCAGGGGAGCAAACGGG